UUCUCUCUUCUACAUUUCGGAUCUUCUUCUUCAAUUCCUUUCUCUUCUUCUCUUCUAACUCCUAAUCUCUCAAUUUUUAGGUUGAGCUUAAUCAUGGAGUGCAAUUUGAAUUCUUUCUCAGAUUGUAAUUGUACAAUGUAGUUCAGUUUGAGCUCAAUCAAUAAAAACUUUGUUACUCAAAUUUCAUACUGUUUUAAGUAAUUUUGGUGUUCAAUUUUACAAGUUCAUUACAAUUGGUAUCAGAGCCAAUUCUUGGCCACAUUCACGAUAACAAGUGCAUAAACUAGAUCGAAAACUACAGACGAGUCGGUUAAGAAGUUGGAAGCAGUGUACAUAUCUAGUGGGUUGGCCAUAUUCCUCGAUCUAGUUUUGACACUAAAC
rnacentral:lncRNA from 1 species